CACUCCGCCAUUUUCCUCCGGAAGUGUGGCACCCAGAGGCGGUCCUGUAGCUGGGCCGGCUUGGGGCUUGGUUCUAUGUCCCUGUGGGUUGGUGCAAGGGCCAGGAGGAACCCGUGAGCCUCAGGGGAUCCCAGGGGGCCGGACCAGUGUUCCCUAGUUGUGGGAACAGACGCGUGGGCGCAUCGCGGGAGGGCAGGGCCUGAAGAGCAGGUGCGGGCUGCGGACCCUGGCGGGGGCUGGGAGGACAGGCGUGGGGUCCCAGCAGUGACGCGGGUUCUAGAGGCACAGGAGCGGGUAGGAGAGGCCGGUGGCCCUGGGCCCGGAGUCUGCAGGCUGCGCUCCUGUCCUGCCGCUGAGGGACCCGGUUACCAACCCGCAUGACGCUCAGUUUGCCCAUCUGUCCCAGUGCUAACACACAGUUCUCGGGAGACGUUCCCCAUUCCCAGAGGAGUAGUGUGAAACGCGUGCGCCUCUAGUCUUAAACUUGACGUUUGUAUUAGUUGGGUUUCCUGGUGUCUCUUUAGCAAGUGAAGUUUCUGGUUCCCUCCUUCACUGUGUGACCUGCCUAGUCCUCCUGGGUCGCAUUUACAGAAGUUUAUACGAGACCUAGUUUCCAGGGAAGAACUCACUGAUUCCGCGAGGGAGAUGGCGUAAUAGAUGAUGGUCGUCAGCCUUAAGGGUACUUCAGUCUUAACUGUGUGUUAGAAAGUUUGAAAGGGAGGGUUCCCUAUGAAUAAGAAGCACACUUGAAAGAACAGCCGUCUGGUCUAACCUCUCACUGGUGCUUCAGAGGAGGAAAAAAGGUCACAGCUAUGUUUCCAGUGUCCUCUGGGUGUUUCCAAGAGCAACAAGAAACGAAUAAAUCUCUGCCAUAGGAGUUUUAGCCAAUUCAGAGGCCUUGCUCCCUACAAUUUGGAACAUUCCUUUGGAUUUGACCAAGUCAGGAAGAGAUGGGAGAAAAGUGAAACAACAACAAUAAAACCCCAAGCAUAAACAAACAAAGAGUUAAGCAAAACAACAAAUGCACAAUUCAUAUGAUUACUGAGUGUUCUAAUGGUAAGGAGAAAUUAAAAGCAGAAAUUAAAAGCAGCUGGUGAGUAAUCUUAAAUUUUAUUCAUUAAGGAAAAAUUUUAAGACAAAACUCUAAUUCAGCUACUUACCUGGAAAUAAGGCUCAGGCUGGUG